GGUCCAGAGCUGUUUAUUUUCAUGGCCAUAAGGAUUUGUGUCUCUGCCUGAAGCAACCUCAUUUAAAGCAAUAGCCCUCCCAGAUAAGACUUCAAAGGAAGGCAAGGGCUACAGGUGAGAAAGGAAAGAGAAGGGAGACAGGCCCUACAAAAAUCAAGGCAGAGCCCUUGAACCCUGGUGGGUGAAGACAACUCAUAAGAUUGCAGACCUGCUUCUUUGGUGGCGUGAAUUCAGAACCUGUUGUGUUCGAAGUGUAGGGAGAUUAUCCAUGGAUGACUGGAGUGUGAAGAAACAAUGCAGAAGAAAUACAUGUUAAUGUUGAGGACCCAGAAAUCAGGAAACAAUGCUGCCAGUGUCUUUUUGGCAUGUCCCACCACUGGGACAAAAUGGAUGCCCAUGCCUCUCUCCCUCUUCCAGACUUUCCAAGAGCUGAUGUCAUGUUAGUAGAGAUAAGACAUAAGAACCCAAGAAUUUGGGAAUGCAGAUGGGUAACAAACAAGUUAUUUUCUCCUCUGCGAAAGCCAGUACAUUCACUUGUGGACUGACAUCCUGAAGCAGAGAGCUGUGGGGGAAAAGACAAUUAAUUUUAUGCUGAAAUAUUCCCUUUCAUUCCCAGACACUGGACAAAAAGAUCUGGGGGUGACAAGACUAAAGAGGGAGAUGGGAGGUACUUUAGAGGCCCCAGGUCCUCAGGAAAUAUGUAAGAAGGACAACGGAUAUUUGGAUAAUAAAGUGGCUAUAUGGUGA